UAGGGAAUCUUCCGCAAUGGGCGAAAGCCUGACGGAGCAACGCCGCGUGAGUGAUGAAGGUCUUCGGAUCGUAAAACUCUGUUAUUAGGGAAGAACAAAUGUGUAAGUAACUAUGCACGUCUUGACGGUACCUAAUCAGAAAGCCACGGCUAACUACGUGCCAGCAGCCGCGGUAAUACGUAGGUGGCAAGCGUUAUCCGGAAUUAUUGGGCGUAAAGCGCGCGUAGGCGGUUUUUUAAGUCUGAUGUGAAAGCCCACGGCUCAACCGUGAAGGGUCAUUGGAAACUGGAAAACUUGAGUGCAGAAGAGGAAAGUGGAAUUCCAUGUGUAGCGGUGAAAUGCGCAGAGAUAUGGAGGAACACCAGUGGCGACGGCGACUUUCUGGUCUGUAACUGACGCUGAUGUGCGAAAGCGUGGGGAUCAAACAGG
rnacentral:rRNA from 1 species